UAGGGAAUAUUGGACAAUGGGUGAGAGCCUGAUCCAGCCAUGCCGCGUGCAGGAAGAAGGCGUUAUGCGUUGUAAACUGCUUUUUGCCAGGGGAUAAAAUGACCGUGCGCGGUUAAUUGAAGGUACCUGGUGAAUAAGCCACGGCUAACUACGUGCCAGCAGCCGCGGUAAUACGUAGGUGGCAAGCGUUGUCCGGAUUUAUUGGGUUUAAAGGGUGCGUAGGUGGCCCUGUAAGUCAGUGGUGAAAUAUCUCAGCUUAACUGAGAGGGUGCCAUUGAUACUGCAGGGCUUGAGUACAGAUGAGGUAGGCGGAAUUGACGGUGUAGCGGUGAAAUGCAUAGAUAUCGUCAAGAACACCGAUAGCGAAGGCAGCUUACCAAGCUGUAACUGACACUGAGGCACGAAAGCAUGGGUAGCAAACAGGAUUAGAUACCCAUGUAGUCCCUGAGCGGGCUGGCAAGGCGCAU
rnacentral:rRNA from 1 species